UACAGAGGUCCCGAGCGUUGUUCGGAUUCACUGGGCGUAAAGGGUGCGUAGGUGGUGGGGUAAGUCUCGUGUGAAAGCUCGCAGCUUAACUGCGAAAAGUCACGGGAUACUAUUCCGCUGGAGGCUUGGAGGGGGGACUGGAAUACUUGGUGUAGCAGUGAAAUGCGUAGAUAUCAAGUGGAACACCAGUGGCGAAGGCGAGUCCCUGGACAAGACCUGACACUGAGGCACGAAAGCCAGGGGAGCAAAC
rnacentral:rRNA from 1 species